GAGCUGGUCAGUCCCAGGGUCAGAGCCCGAAUGCGGAUGCCCAGUAACUCUCAGCCUUAAAGCCACGAGGGGUUGUUGCUAUGGGAAUGGAGAGGGGGCUUGCAGGCAGCAUCUGGAGCCUGUGUCUCUCCCUGUCCGAGGCAGCUGGAUUCGGAGGGAAGCAAAACUAAAAGGAGGUGGCAGAGAGAGACAGAGGCACAGCAAAAUGCAUGCAUGUUAGAGGAGGGACCUUCCCAGAAUGAGAGUACAGUGGGAUACAGAAGAGCGGGGACACCAAACUGUCAGGCAGCGGUGGCUCGGCUGGGUAGGAUAAACCUGAUUUUCUGCUCUGAUUGACACUGGAAACAAGUCCGGUGAGAGCCCAGCUGUAGCAAGAUGGGAUCUGCCUCCUCCACUUACCGGCCCAAAUGUAUUUAUUUGGACAUUGAUGGAAGAAUUCAAAAGCAGUUCUUUGGCCGCAAACCAAGCGCCUUUUCUGUAACAGAGCUGCUGAGAGGCUCCAGAACAAGCAAACUCUGAUUUGCAAAAUUCAGAUCACUCUGCUCUUCCAGCUCUAAAUUUUCGGUUCAGCCAAUCUCGCCUUUUUGGUUUUUAAUCCUGUAAAGAAACAGCAAGGGAAAAUGCCCUGUCCUUUGCCUCCGCUCUGCUGUGCGAGUGAAUGGAGAGCUGGUACUCGCAGUCCCACCCAGCACGCCUCCAGCCCCCUCCACCACUGCCCCGGAGACCCACGGCGAGCGCUCAAAGUCGCGUCCUCAGGAACGGGACCUUGGAGAAUCCAGAUCUGUGCCGGAUUCCCCCGAGAAAGCUGCUCCUCUUGAUCCAUCAGACGUAGCUCAGUCGUGAUGAUGGUCCCUCUGCUGCCGUCAGAUUGUCCCUGCCGGCUCUGCUGAGCUGAGGGCUCUGAUUCUCUUUUUCCCAGGGUUUAAUAAAUUGGUUGCCUGGUGGCCUCGCCAAAGCA